rnacentral:rRNA from 1 species
UACGUAGGGGGCAAGCGUUGUUCGGAAUUACUGGGCGUAAAGGGCGCGUAGGCGGCUUGUCAAGUCAAAGGUGAAAUCCCUCGGCUCAACUGAGGAACUGCCUUUGAAACUAGCGAGCUUGAGGCCGGGAGGGGGUAGCGGAAUUCCCAGUGUAGCGGUGAAAUGCGUAGAUACUGGGAGGAACACCAGUGGCGAAGGCGGCUACCUGGACCGGUUCUGACGCUGAGGCGCGAAAGCGUGGGUAGCAAACAGG